rnacentral:rRNA from 1 species
GGACCCGCACAAGCGGUGGAGCAUGUGGUUUAAUUCGAUGCAACGCGAAAAACCUUACCUACACUUGACAUACUUCGAAUUUUCUAGAGAUAGAUUAGUGCCUUCGGGAGCGAAGAUACAGGUGCUGCAUGGCUGUCGUCAGCUCGUGUCGUGAGAUGUUGGGUUAAGUCCUAUAACGAGCGCAACCCUUACCCUUAUUUGCCAGCGGUUAGGCCGGGAACUAUAAGGGAACUGCCGGUAAUAAGCCGGAGGAAGGUGGGGACGACGUCAAGUCAUCAUGGCCCUUACGUGUAGGGCUACACACGUGCUACAAUGGGAGAUACAGACGGUUGCUAAAGCGCGAGCUGGAGCCAA